AUGGCGUCGGAGCCGGUGGCGCGGGCCGUGGCGGAGGAGGUGGCGCGGUGGGGCGGGAUGAGGCAGACAGGUGUCAGCCUGCGCUACAUGAUGGAGUUCGGGGCGCGCCCCACGGAGCGCAACCUGCUGCUCUCCGCGCAGUUCCUGCACAAGGAGCUCCCCAUCCGCAUCGCCAGGCGCGCGCUCGACCUCGACUCCCUCCCCUUCGGCCUCUCCCAUAAGCCCGCCGUCCUCAAGGUGAGAGAUUGGUACUUGGAUUCGUUCCGUGACAUCCGGUACUUCCCGGAGGUGAGCAACCAGGACGAUGAGCUAGCAUUCACCCAGAUGAUCAAGAUGAUCAGGGUGCGUCACACAAAUGUGGUGCCCACCAUGGCAUUGGGUGUGCAGCAGCUGAAGAAGGACCUGGGUGGUACAAAGGCAUUCCCCUCUGGAAUUAAUGAGAUCCAUCAGUUCCUUGAUCGCUUCUACAUGUCAAGAAUUGGGAUCCGCAUGCUGAUAGGGCAGCAUGUUGCUUUGCAUGAUCCUGAUCCAGAGCCUGGCGUCAUAGGGCUCAUAAACACAAGAUUGUCCCCCAUGCUGGUGGCUCGACUUGCUAGUGAAGAUGCACGCGCUAUUUGCAUGCGAGAAUAUGGAUCAGCUCCUGAUGUCAACAUAUAUGGGCACCCAGAUUUUACGUUUCCAUAUGUGACAAUACAUCUACAUCUUAUGAUGUUUGAAUUGGUGAAGAAUUCUCUUCGUGCAGUACAAGAACGAUUUAUGAACUCUGAUAAACAUGCACCUCCUGUUAGGAUCAUAGUUGCUGAUGGAGCAGAGGAUGUAACUAUCAAGAUUAGUGAUGAAGGUGGUGGAAUACCAAGAAGUGGCCUCCCAAGAAUAUUCACCUAUCUCUACAGUACAGCAGAACACCCACCUGAUCUAGAUGGCCAUAAUGGAGUGACAAUGGCUGGGUAUGGUUAUGGGCUCCCAAUUAGUCGUCUUUAUGCUCGAUAUUUUGGCGGGGAUCUGCAAAUAAUUUCUAUGGAGGGAUAUGGAACUGAUGCUUACCUCCACUUAUCACGUCUGGGAGAUUCAGAGGAACCCUUGCCUUAA
rnacentral:rRNA from 1 species